rnacentral:rRNA from 1 species
ACAGAGGGUGCAAACGUUGUUCGGAAUUACCGGGCGUAAAGCGCGUGUAGGCGGCUUGGCAAGUCGGGUGUGAAAGCCCUGGGCUCAACCUAGGAAGUGCACUCGAAACUGCCUCGCUCGAGUACCGGAGAGGAAAGCGGAAUUCUCGGUGUAGAGGUGAAACUCGUAGAUAUCGAGAGGAACACCGGUGGCGAAGGCGGCUUACUGGCUCGUAACUGACGCUGAGGCACGAAAGCGUGGGGAGCAAACAGGA